rnacentral:rRNA from 1 species
UAAAAGACUUUAAAAGUAUGAUUAAAUAUGGUAAUUUAAAUGUAAGUAAUCAAAGUGAUUAUUAAGGAUGCCUAGCAAACAUUUAUUAAAGGACGACUUAAAUGUUAGAAUGUCGAAAAGCUGUAGAUAGUAGGUAUAAUCCCGAUGAGAUUAUAUCGACGAGUUCUAGUUAUAAUAUAAAAUUUAUAGCACCUCGUCGCUUGAGGCGAUCCUAAGGUAAACCGUAAAGUAUAAACACAGUGAACUGAAACAUCUAAGUAACUGUAGGAAAGGAAAUCAACCGAGACUCCAUAAGUAGUGGUGAGCGAAAGUGGAAAUUAGCCAUAAUUUAUUAAUAUUAGAAUCGUUUGGAAAAAGGAAUCCGUAGUAAGGUGAAAGCCCUGUAUAUAUUAAUAGAUUAAUACAAUUGAAAUAGGUAGAAGAGAAUCUGCUCAUAUUGAAAAAGUAAAAUUUUUUGUUUAUAUAAAAAAAUUAAAAUUAUAAAAAUAGUUUUAAUUUUUUGUUUCGAUUUAUUAAAUUAAUUUAGUAAAUCAAUAUUAGUUCCAAUGAGAAUUAAAGGGAGAAAUCUAUUAAAUUAUUUAUUAAUAAUAAAUAGUAUAUAAUCAGGGGAACCAUCCUCUAAGGCUAAGUAUAAAUGUUUAGCGAUAGUGAAAAGUAACGUGAGUGAAAGGUGAAAGAGGCCGUUGUUGACCGAGGGGUGAAAAUAGACCUGAAUUAGUAAUCAUAUAAGCAAUUAGAGCUAAGAUUUUAUGCCGAUACUAGGCUUAAAUUAGUGAUAAUGUACCUUUUGUAUAAUGGGUGGAAUAAGCAAGCCCACAAUAAUUUAUAAUUAUUGAAAAAACUGACUCAAGGCAAAUGUGCCGGUAUAAAGUAGAAAAAUAAAUACUUUAUGCUAACGGUAGAUACCUAUAUAAGGCAAUACCGUGAAUUAUAGAAAAUUUUCUAUAAUUUGUAACGACUCUUCUGGCCCUUUUUAUUUUCGCAUUACUUGUUGUGGUAUUAAAAAGGGAAUUAGUAAUGGAAGGAUUUAUGACAGGGUCAUAAAUUAAAAGGUCAGCAGUUUAAUUUUUAUUUUUUGAAAUAAAAUCAAUUGAGAAUGGUAAAAUUUUAAGCUGAUGGUAUAGUCUGAACUAAUAUGAAAGUAUUAGAAUAACAUUUUGUAGCGAGUUGAUAAUAGUAGCAAGGUUAUAAACCCUAGCGAAAGCAACUAACAUAAUAUGUGGUAUAGUUACUAUUAUCAGACCCGAAACGCAGUGAUUUAUCCAUGACCAGAUUAGUAAUUAGAUCGAAUGGUUCAAUGUUGCAGUAUUGUCCAAUGAGUUGUGGAUUGUAGGUGAAAGGCCAAUCUGACUGCGAGAUUGCUGGUACUCCUCGAAACAUAUUUUAGUAUGACUUUUUGUUUAUAUUUAUGCAGGUACAGCACUGAUUAUCACACAGGAUUUCUAUUUUUAGGAAUAAUGUACAAUUGGGGGGUCGUUGAGACUUUAUCAUUGGUAAUUAACCUCGGAACAACAUAAAUUAACAUACAAAAAUUUCAGACUAUUCAUGAUAAGGUGGAUAGUCGAGACGGAAACAGCCGUGAACAUAGAAUAAGGUCCCAAAGUAAUGAUUAAGUGAAAAUAAGGAAGUGGUGAUUUGAAAACAACUAUAUAGUUAGCUUGGCAGUUGCUAUCUUUUAAUGAAAGUGUAACAACUUAGUAGUCUAGUGAAUCAUCGCACCGAAGAUAAACGGGUCUUAGAUCAUUCACCGAAACUAUGUCUAUAUUCUUCUUGUUUAUUGAAAAUUUUUCUCUCGUAAGAGGAUGACUCCUUCCUAUCGCGCUCAAAUAAGCGUCUAGGGGGGAGAAUAAUAAAUAUAUAUAGGAAGAAUGAAGGGUAGAGGAGCAUUCAGUAUGGUAGAAGAAUAGUGUUACAUUAUUUGGACAUUACUGAAGAGAUUAUGCUAACAUGAGUAACGUAGAAAGAAGAUAUAAUACUUCUCGCCGAAUGCGAAAGGGUUGUUAAGCUAUGUUAGACAGCUUGAUAAAUAAAACGGUCUCUAAGACUAUGCGCAAGUCAUUGUUAAUAGUUGAUGAGUAUAAAUUAGAAAGUCUUUGACCAAGAAAAUAUAUCAGACAAUAGCUUUAUAAUAGUAUUUCUUAAUAUAUUAAUAGGUCGUGUUAUACGUUAUAUUAGGAUAUUAGAUUUAUAUAAAUAAAAUGAUUUUCAUUUUAUUUUAUAUUUUUUCUAAUAAAGACAAAAAUGAGCUUAUUACUAUUAUUUAAAGUGUUUUGCAUUUACCGUACCCUAAACUGACACAAGUUCGUAGGUAGAGAAUACUAAGGCGUAGAGAUAAUACUGUUCAAGGAACUCGGCAAAAUGCGUCCGUACACUAGAUAAUAAGGGCUACCCGUUAUAAAAUAGAUAGUAAAAUAGCAGAAACUUGAUUGUGUCAAAUAGACAGGCUUAAAGUCUUUCAUGGGAGAUGAUUAUGGUCAGAUCAAAGUGGAGCUUUUGUAUGUUGGGAUUAAUAUUUCAUAAAUUAAUAUAUUAUUAUGAUAUUUCAUAAUAAUAUAUUAUUGCCUAACCUAAGGUUGAAAAUUAAUGAAUCAAUAUAUACUAUCGAUAUAAUAUAAUAGGGUGACAGAAAAUCGUGAAGCACAACUGUUUACCAAAAACACAGGUAUCUGCUAUGUUUAAUAACAUUGUAUAGGUACUGAAUCUUGUCCGAUGUCAUGGGUAUAAUACAGGUACUAAAUUAUGGAUAUUUGUAGAAACUCUGAUCAAUGACAGUCUUAACUAUAAGGAUUUUAAGAGUAGCGAAAUUCCUUGGCCAUUAAAUGUGGUCCCGCAUGAAUAGAGUAAUGAUGCUUCAGCUGUCUCAAACAGUAUCUCAGUGAAAUUGAAUUAGCCGUGAAGAUGCGGUUUAGGUGUGGGCAGACGGGAAGACCCUAUGCAGCUUUACUAUAGCUAGUCAGGGCUAAAUAAAAAUGGAUGACAGACAAAAGGUACAUGGAUUUACAAUAAGUAGUUUAAAUGAAAAAUUUAUGAUACAUAUGAAUAUAGAUAUUCAUUUGUAUAUAUGAAUCUAACUUUAAUAUAAAGUUUAGUUUAAAUUAUAUUUAUGUAAAAUUUAGGGCGAUGAAAGACCAUUAGAAAUUUUUAUGAAGUUCCAUUCCCAUUUAUUGACAGGGGUUGAUGACUAGGUGGUAGUUUAACUGGGACGGUUUCCUCCAAUAGAGUAUCGGAGGACUUCAAAGGUAUGUUUGUGUGAGAUGGAAACUCAUUUGUCAUAUAUGACGAAAUAAAACGUAAAGGUAUAUACAUACUUAACUGCUAGACUGAUAAGUCAAACAGAUACGUAAGUAGGACUUAAUGAUCCGGUGAUUCUUUAUGGAAAGGUCAUCGCUUAAGAAAUAAAAGUUAAACAGGGUAAUAGCUCUAGAGAGUUCAUAUUGUCAGAGCUGUUUGCCACCUCGAUGUCGACUCAUCUUCUCCUCCCGGUGCACAAUCUGGGAAGGGUUCUGCUGUUCGCAGAUUAAAAAGGUACGUGAGUUGGGUUCAAUACGACGCGAGUCAGUAUGGUUCCUAUCUUCCACACCAAAGAAUAAUCAAAUUUAGAUGGAUUUUUAGUACGAAAGGACCAGAAUCUGCGUUUCUAUGGUGUACCAAUUGUUGAUUUGACUUACUAUAUUAUACCCUCGUAGAAGUGUAGGGCAAGUAUAGUCUAUAUAUGUCUAUAAUCGGCAUCGUUGGGUAGCUACAAACGUUAAGGAUAAAAGCUGAAAGCAUAUAAGCUAUUGAAGCCUACUAAAGGAGAUUUACCACUAUACAGGUGGAUUAUGUUAGAGAUAGACUAUCUCUUUAAUAGGUCACGAGUGUACUCAUUGUAAAAUGUUUAGCUUAGUGAUACUAAU